CUAGGCGACUGGUGUGGAUUGGUGUUGAUGAGAUGUGGCUUCCAGCGUUGCCCGACUCAGACCUGUUUCCAGUCUGGAUGGAGCGGACCGACUGUGUGGGAUGGGGUGAGAGGAACAAGUGAAACUCAACAGCUAAGGAGAAAAUGAAGAACUAGUGCUACGUUUUCCACGUUCUUUUUGCUCCGGGGUUGACAUGGCAUUUGGCCUUUCUACCUGGAGAAAAUCAAGAGUAUGUAACUUUCCCUGCAGAUGGUCUGUCUGUAAGAGCUGACACAGGAACCUUUGGGAGCCAGUAUCUAUUUUGUUUCCGACUGCAAAGUUCCAGCCAAUGAUUUGGAGGGGGGCCGGCACCUUCUGCUGGGAGCUAGUCUGGGAGGGAACAACUCAUUCCUGAGUUCUCUUUCGCAAACAUAUCUCUUGUCUAUUAAAAUAAUAGUAAUAAAAAUAAGAAUAAUAAUUAAAA
ensembl:processed_transcript Pantr2 POU domain, class 3, transcription factor 3 adjacent noncoding transcript 2